UUACAGAAAAGAAAAAGAAGAAAAGAAGAGCCAGGAGGAUAGGUUGUUCAGUUUACUACCGGGGACCUGACUGUGACAGACCACCAAGAAAACAAAAUUUUCAAAGAGAGUGGAGAAAACCUUCUGCAGCAUCUGCAAGUCUCUCCUUUUUUCUUCAGAGUUACGUAGGAUAACUUAGCCAGAACUUAUUGAUGUCUGCAUGUUCAGUGGACUCGGGAAUGGACUGGGAGAUGCGGAAACGUACUCUGGAAGGAAGAGAAGAGGAGGCAUUUCAAAGAUCCUGCAGGUGACAAAGGUGAUGAUCUGCUGACAGAAUAAAUAAAUUGUAGAAAGUGCUGAGACUGCACAGGCAUUUGCUGUGGUAUCACUCCCACAUGAGGACCCUUCAUGGCAGUCUUUUGUCAAGUAUGUUCCCUCCUGUGGGUUCAUUAUUUUGCAGAGGAUGGGUCUUUCUGAUCUGCAGGGAUCUAUCUAUCACUGCUGACUCUCUGCAUCUUCUCCACAUGGAAGAAGUAAUUGGAUUGUAUUUUCUGCACACGACCAAGACAGCAGGGAAACCCAGAGCUGUAAGCCA